rnacentral:rRNA from 1 species
AGGGACGAAGGGCGAAGGGUUAAUAGCCCUUAGCCUGACGGUACCUUUCGAGGAAGCCCCGGCUAACUACGUGCCAGCAGCCGCGGUAAUACGUAGGGGUCGAGCGUUGUCCGGAAUUAUUGGGCGUAAAGAGCGUGUAGGCGGUUCGGUAAGUCUGCCGUGAAAACCUGAGGCUCAACCUCGGGCGUGCGGUGGAUACUGCCGGGCUAGAGGACGGUAGAGGCGAGUGGAAUUCCCGGUGUAGCGGUGAAAUGCGCAGAUAUCGGGAGGAACACCAGUAGCGAAGGCGGCUCGCAGGGCCGUUCCUGACGCUGAGACGCGAAAGCUAGGGGAGCGAACAGGAUUAGAUACCCUGGUAGUCCUAGCCGUAAACGAUGGACACUAGGUGUGGGGGGAGCCGAAUCCCUCUGUGCCGCAGUUAACGCGUUAAGUGUCCCGCCUGGGGGGUACGGCCGCAAGGCUAAAACUCAAAAGAAUUGACGGGGGCCCGCACAAGCAGCGGAGCAUGUUCUUUAAUUCGAUGCAACGCGAAGAACCUUACCUGGACUUGACAUGGUGC